rnacentral:tRNA from 1 species
GCCUGCUUCGUCUAGUGGUUAGGAUUUUCCUUUCGUAAGGGAACGGUCACCCGUUCGAUUCGGGUAGUAGGCA